rnacentral:rRNA from 1 species
UGUACCUACGGGAGGCAGCAGUGAGGAAUAUUGGUCAAUGGGCGCAAGCCUGAACCAGCCAAGUCGCGUGAGGGAAGACGGCCCUACGGGUUGUAAACCUCUUUUGCCGGGGAGCAAGCCUGAGCACGUGUGCCCAGGCGGAGAGUACCCGGAGAAAAAGCAUCGGCUAACUCCGUGCCAGCAGCCGCGGUAAUACGGAAGGUCCGGGCGUUAUCCGGAUUUAUUGGGUUUAAAGGGAGCGUAGGCCGGCUUUUAAGUCAGCUGUGAAAGUCCGCGGCUCAACCGUGGAAUUGCAGUUGAAACUG